rnacentral:rRNA from 1 species
AGAGUUUGAUCAUGGCUCAGAACGAACGUUAGCGGCGCGCUUAACACAUGCAAGUCGUGCGAGAAAGGGGAAACCCCGGUAAAGCGGCGCACGGGUGAGUAACACGUAGGUAAUUUGCCCCCAGGUGGUGGAUAACCUUCCGAAAGGAGGGCUAAUACAGCAUAAGACCACGAGCUCGAAAGAGUUUGAGGUCAAAGCCGGCCUCUCCAUGAAAGCUGGCGCCAGGGGAUGAGCCUGCGGCCCAUCAGCUAGUUGGUAAGGUAAUGGCUUACCAAGGCGAAGACGGGUAGCUGGUCUGAGAGGAUGAUCAGCCACACUGGAACUGAGACACGGUCCAGACUCCUACGGGAGGCAGCAGUGGGGAAUCUUGCGCAAUGGGCGAAAGCCUGACGCAGCGACGCCGCGUGAGUGACGAAGGCCUUCGGGUUGUAAAGCUCUGUGGAGAGGGACGAAUAAGUGUUGGCUAACAUCCAGCAUGAUGACGGUACCUCUUUAGCAAGCACCGGCUAACUCUGUGCCAGCAGCCGCGGUAAGACAGAGGGUGCAAACGUUGUUCGGAAUUACUGGGCGUAAAGCGCGUGUAGGCUGUUCUGAAAGUCGGAUGUGAAAACCCUGGGCUCAACCUAGGAAGUGCACUCGAAACUUCAGAACUUGAGUCCUGGAGAGGAAGGCGGAAUUCUCGGUGUAGAGGUGAAAUUCGUAGAUAUCGAGAGGAACACCGGUGGCGAAGGCGGCCUUCUGGACAGUGACUGACGCUGAGACGCGAAAGCGUGGGGAGCAAACAGGAUUGGAUACCCUGGUAGUCCACGCCGUAAACGAUGGGUGCUAGGUGUCGCGGGCUUUGACCCCUGCGGUGCCGCAGCUAACGCAUUAAGCACCCCGCCUGGGGAGUACGGCCGCAAGGCUAAACUCAAAGGAUUGACGGGGGCCCGCACAAGCGGUGGAGCAUGUGGUUCAUUCGACG